rnacentral:rRNA from 1 species
CCAAUAGCGUAUAUUAAAGUUGUUGCAGUUAAAAAGCUCGUAGUUGAAUUUCGGAGUUAGUAAGUUGGUCAUGCCUUCGGUAUGUACUGGCUUUACUGAUUCCUCCUUUCUGAAGAACUGUAAUGCCAUUAAUUUGGUGUUGCAGGGAAACAGGACUGUUACUUUGAAAAAAUUAGAGUGUUUAAAGCAAGCUAACGCUUGAAUACAUUAGCAUGGAAUAAUGAAAUAGGACGUUUGAUCCUAUUUUGUUGGUUUCUAGGAUUGACGUAAUGAUUAAUAGGGAUAGUUGGGGGCAUUAGUAUUCAAUUGUCAGAGGUGAAAUUCUUGGAUUUAUUGAAGACUAACUACUGCGAAAGCAUUUGCCAAGGAUGUUUUCAUUAAUCAAGAACGAAAGUUAGGGGAUCGAAGACGAUCAGAUACCGUCGUAGUCUUAACCAUAAACUAUGCCGACUAGGGAUCGGAUGAUGUUAAUUUUUUAAUGACUCA